GCAUCCUAGUUUUAGCCUGAAAAGUGAGAAACGGAGAACAUACCUUAAUUUUGACACGUCAGACGAGGAAACGGAGAAACCAAAACGCAGCGGUGUAAGCUAAUUAUGAAUUGCUUCGAACCGAAGCAAUCUGCUGUGCACUUCAUCCUCCGGCUUCUCUUCACCUAAAACUUUCGAGUCUCGCGGGACCCAGAGCGUAAAAACGACGCGGUUUUUCGUUCUCUUUGAAAUGCAGGGUUUUGGAAUCGAAGCUCCUCGGAACCCAUCCAAAGCCACAGAUUACUGUCUCUUCGAUGACGAAAUCGUACCAAAUGAAGUGCUUGGUGAUUGUGGAAGGAAAAUCAUUACAAUAGAGGUCGGAUUGCUAUUAUCCUUCUAUUGAUCGACUUACAAUAGAGGUUGGGCCCAUAAAAGCACUAAUGAGGCAGGACUUUGACCUCAGUUUAUAUGAAACAUUCAUAAAAAGUUGAUAUACUUAUCGGUUUUAAGACUAUAGAGUGGUUUUACAAUCAUUCCCAUAGCGUCCUCAGCGCUUUGUCAUAAAAUGCUACCAAAGGGAUGAGUUCAAAAGUCUUCCUGGAUCAAGUUAUGAAAACUUCCCCUAGUCCCCAUGCUGUCAAGUUUGUGAUGCAGGAGCACCUAACAGGCUUACCAAAGCAAAGCCGGUCAGUCCUCUUUUUUGAUUGAUUCUGUUAAUAUCAUUUUUGUUUGCCUAUUAACAAAAGGCCAGCUAAUAAGCUUAUCUUUAUCUCCAGAAAUACAUCUUUUAAUUAUCUUUUUGUUUAGUUUGCUGUCUUAUGCUUAAUUGAGCCUUUAUAGAUUGUAUUUAGGCUCCUGGUCCUUUUAAGUAGCCCUUUGAGAAUCAUAUAAUACUUUAUUAUUUUAUAAUGUGUAAAUGUUAGGAUUAUUAAGUUUAAGGAGUAAUCAAUAGCUGAGAUUGUUAGGUGGCUGUUGCUCUGAUAUAAAUACUCUUGUAAUGAAUUGUUUGCAGUUUUCACUUUUCAGUCAUUGAAUAGAUUUAAAGAAAGUGUAUAGACACUAGACUCUCUUUUAUUAAUUCCUAAU